rnacentral:rRNA from 1 species
GAUGAACGCUGGCGGCAUGCCUAAUACAUGCAAGUCGAGCGAAGCGGGGGGGGGUGAGUAAAACGUGGGUAACCUGCUAUAUGACUGGGAUAACUUCGGGAAACCGGUGCUAAUCCGGAUACUUAUCGCUGAUUCCGCGAUGCAUUAGCUAGUUGGUAAGGUAACGGCUCACCAAGGCAACGGUGCCUAGCCGACCUGAGAGGGUGACCGGCCACACUGGAACUGAGACACGGUCCAGACUCCUACGGGAGGCAGCAGUAGGGAAUCUUGCGCAAUGGGCGCAAGCCUGAGGGAGCCACGCCGCGUGAGUGAUGAAGGUCUUCGGGUCGUAAAACUCUUUUAUUAGGGAAGCGGUACCGAAUCAGAAAGCAACGGCUAACUACGUGCCAGCCGCCGCGGUAAUUC